AGUGAACGCUGGCGGCGUGCUUAACACAUGCAAGUCGAACGAGAACGGGUUAUAGCUUGCUAUAAUUGUCAGCUAAGUGGCGCACGGGUGAGUAAUGUAUAGGUAAUAUGCCUCUUACUAAGGGAUAACAAAUGGAAACGUUUGCUAAUACCUUAUACUCCUUAUUAACAGAAGUUAAUAAGUGAAAGAUUUAUUGGUAAGAGAUUAGCCUGUAUUGUAUCAGUUAGUUGGUGGGGUAAUGGCUUACCAAGACUAUGACACAUAACUGGUUUGAGAGGAUGAUCAGUCACACUGGAACUGAGACACGGUCCAGACUCCUACGGGAGGCAGCAGUGGGGAAUAUUGCACAAUGGACGAAAGUCUGAUGCAGCAACGCCGCGUGGAGGAUGACACAUUUCGGUGCGUAAACUCCUUUUAUAUGAGAAGAUAAUGACGGCAUUAUAUGAAUAAGCACCGGCUAACUCCGUGCCAGCCGCCGCAGUAAAAC
rnacentral:rRNA from 1 species